AUUGAACGCUGGCGGCAGGCCUAACACAUGCAAGUCGAGCGGAUGAAGGGAGCUUGCUCCUGGAUUCAGCGGCGGACGGGUGAGUAAUGCCUAGGAAUCUGCCUGGUAGUGGGGGAUAACGUCCGGAAACGGGCGCUAAUACCGCAUACGUCCUGAGGGAGAAAGUGGGGGAUCUUCGGACCUCACGCUAUCGGAUGAGCCUAGGUCGGAUUAGCUAGUUGGUGGGGUAAAGGCCUAGCAAGGCGACGAUCCGUAACUGGUCUGAGAGGAUGAUCAGUCACACUGGAACUGAGACACGGUCCAGACUCCUACGGGAGGCAGCAGUGGGGAAUAUUGGACAAUGGGCGAAAGCCUGAUCCAGCCAUGCCGCGUGUGUGAAGAAGGUCUUCGGAUUGUAAAGCACUUUAAGUUGGGAGGAAGGGCAGUAAGUUAAUACCUUGCUGUUUUGACGUUACCAACAGAAUAAGCACCGGCUAACUUCGUG
rnacentral:rRNA from 1 species